rnacentral:rRNA from 1 species
GCUAGUAAUGGCAGGUCAGCAUACUGCCGUGAAUACGUUCCCGGGCCUUGUACACACCGCCCGUCACACCAUGAGAGUUGGGGAUACCCGAAGCCUGUGAGCUAACAGUAAUGAAGCAGCAGUCGAAGGUAGAAUCAAUGAUUGGGGUGAAGUCGUAACAAGGUAUC